AUGAGAGAAAAAAGUAUUUUUACUGAUAGAGAUUUUAGCUCCUCCCAAUUCUUGCUUAAAUUAUCCAACUCUUGGGUUAUAAAUUUGCUUUUUAGUGACAGCAUAGCUGCAGCCUGCAGGGUCUCUGAAGAAUGGGUCUUCAUCAGAGGACAUGUCUCCUGGCAAGGGGGCAUUUGCUGCCUGCUGCCCAGCUCUGAGCAACAGCCCGGAGCCCUGCUGGCUGCUCUCCGCACCCUGAAGCCGGCUCUGAGUUCGACCAAUGCUCAGCCUUCGCUGGUGCGGCCAGGGCCCUCAUCUGCUGCUUCCAUUUCAGGAAAGCUAUCAGCCAUUGUCUGCUUUUUUGGAUAGCGUGACAAAUGGCUGAUAUUUCUGGCACUUGGCAUAUCCUUUACCUGGGAGGGUGA
rnacentral:lncRNA from 1 species